GCAGCAGGUUGGUUUGCCGCUGGCACCCUCCUUCGGGGGGAUGAAAGAGGAAAGUCCGGGCAACACAGAGCACCGCACUUCUUAAUGUGGAAGCUAUCCGUGAGGGUAGAGCAAGGGUAACAGAAAAUAACCGCCCGUGCGGAAACAAACGGGUAAGGGUGAAAAGGCGGGGUAAGAGCCCACCGGUUGCGGUAGCGAUAUCGUGAGCCGUACCUCUUGCGGGUUGUAAGACCAUGUAUACCGGCGUAUGUAGGAUUGCUCGUCCGAUGUCGGGGGGUAGGUCGCUUGAGCCUGUCGGUGACGGCAGGCGUAGAUAAAUGGCAAACACUUUUAAUUUCAGUUUCUGAUUUAAAAGAACAGAACCCGGCUUACAGACCGGCUGCAUUU
rnacentral:RNase_P_RNA from 2 species